AAUCAGUUAAGGAGAGAGUAUCAUGUGGCUGGAGUUGCUGCUCAUAACAUCUUGGAGGUAUCAAAUCCCUGUGGUCUGGGGGUGAUUUGGAAAAUGCAUGUGAAAGAAGAGCAAGAUCCCACUUUCUUCUAUAACACCCCGCUGCAGGGUGCUAACCACUGCCCGUGGCAAUUUGUGGAACCCUGGGGGCACCAGCUAGGCCCGUCCUAUUAGCGUAAAGGAACUAACGAGGACCCUCAGGAUCCCAGUACGGGGAUACCUCCUGUAACAGCACUCCAACAGAGUAGCUGCAAAGCAUAGAAGCCGAAUAUUCCAUGUGCUUGAGGGUAAAUUGUGGAAUGGAAUGGAAAUAGUUAUUUCAUGCAAAGACACUGGCAGACUGCACUCAUCCAUGACUUGAGUUGGGGAACUGAGAAGCUCUCUCUCCUGGGGAGACCAUCCAAAACCAUUAAAAAAAUUUCUUGGGCAACCCUGACCUUCAGCUUAAAAACAACAUAAGGGAAGCCUGAAGCCUCAGCUCUGCAUUCAAAAAAAUUGUAAAUUAUUGGGACAAAACCAAAGGAAUGUGUGCAUGCUGCAUGGUUUGGUAGAGUGUUCAAGCAGACAACAGGCAAUUUCUCAUAAGAGACAGACAAGCGCAGCUUACCUUUUGUAGGGGAGGGGGUGUUUCUCACAUCAAAUGAGAAAUUCUGGAAGCUUAGGAAAGAUUGGGAGUUAGUAGGAAUGUGGUUAACAUUUCAGCUCUUUCCAGCCAAAACCAGGA